rnacentral:lncRNA from 1 species
GGCGAGGGGUGGGACCGCAGGGCCGGAGUAAAAGGGUGCUUGGCUGUGACAGGUGCUAAGGGCCUGGGCGUCAGCUCCUUGCGGGAGCGUCACUGCCGACCGGGAAGGGAAAGGCAAUCUUGGGGGCCUCCGGAGUCCGGAGGAUCACUCUGAUGGGUCUCCUGGCCUCAGUGAUGGAAUUAAGAUGACUUCUAUCUCUGAAUCCAAGGGUGACUGAAAGCCGCAAGCUGCAGAAAGGACAAGAGGCAUCACCUAUGUGGAUAAAGACAGCAUCCUGAGUUGAUGGAGAAAUGGCAUAGAAGGAACCAGGUCCUUUGAUGACAUCAUGGAGCAAAGCUGUCUUCUUGCCUUGACCUGCUACCUACCUACAUGGGAAGCUGUUACUUGAGAAGGCAAUAAAAUCUAUCUUCUUUAUUGA